rfam:Neolentinus lepideus HHB14362 ss-1 unplaced genomic scaffold NEOLEscaffold_72, whole genome shotgun sequence.
AGCACAAUAGCUCAGUGGUAAGAGCACCACAGUGUGAUUAUGGGAGGUCGCUGGUUCAAUUCCACCUUGUGCCA